rnacentral:rRNA from 1 species
AUGUGGGAAUUUCUAGCACAUUCCUCUUUUACGGUGACGCUAGAUUCGAAUUUGAAGGCGUACUUGCCCCUGAGCUGGCGGUGCAUGAGGACAACGACGACAAAAUUCUGGCAUCGUCUCCAAGCUCCGUCGCAAGCAACGCAGGAACGCCUCAGGCUCAAAGUCGGGUUGCUGUGCAGGCGAGCGGCAGCAGCCACUUACGUCUCUUCCAAGAAGGGCGCCACCUUGGAGGAGCAUAACGACACCAGCUGCAGCGGCGCACGAGCCAACAAAGGGGCAGGACCAUUGGAGACGACGGACACAGAGGUGCAUGCUAGGCAUGCCGAUCAUCAGACACUAGGGAGCGAUCCCACCCGUGAUGCCGCAGUACACGCAGCCAUCGCCGCCACCGCCACAUGCCAUGAUCUACGGGCAAGUGCCUGCUCAGCAGCGUACAAGAGAGAUCACCGCGGGGCCCUACUCGCCAAGACGAUGCUUCUCUUAUCGUGCUUAUUUACUUGCCUUCUAUGUGUGACGAGAAGGAGCGGGAGAUUCAGAGGCUCAGGUUGGCAUCACUAG